ensembl:lncRNA
UAUGUCAAGAUUUUAUAAUAGGAAAACAACACUUCUAAAAUGCAGACACCAAAACAAGCUGCUUUCAAUGUGCUUUUUGCCCUCUAUCAAGGCUUCAUCAAUCGGAACCUGAUCAUUUUUCUUUAACUUUUUGAGGGUCAGAAAAAUUCAGGUCAUUUUAAUGUGUAUCAUAUUUUUAUGUGAAUUAAACCCUUUAUUUCACAAAUUUUUAAAAUCAUAUUUAUAUUGUUUAGGUGUAUAGAACUUUUUUUUUAUCAACUGGUAUUACAUUUCUCUGACCUUACUGUUGUUUUCAUUGUGUUUUUCUUAGAUUUUUUAAAACAGCUUGUAGUCAAUCUCAUCUUUUGCAGUUAUCUUUUGUUCCCUCUGUAUGGAGAAUUUCAUUCCCCUGGCCAUCAGUCAGUAUCAUACCAUCUUCUGAUCCAAUAGCAUCUUGGACUUUUGCCAAGAUAGCAGGAACUGAUGCCUCAUGUUCAUGAAAACGGAUCGCUACAGUCUUCUGGGGUCUUCACAGAUCAGCAAGAAAAACAUUCCUUGAAAUGAAAAUAUGUUUAGUUAAAUAUCCAAAGACCACCCCAUCUUCCUAUAACCCAGAUCUAGGGAGAGUGCAAUGCCAACAUUCAGUGUAGUCACAGUAUAUCUCUGGCUUCAAUCACUCAGGCAGACAUACAAGUUGUUAAAAUAAACCUUGCUAUUAUUAGAGAACUGACAGUGAACUGAUAACAUAUGCCAUUUGCUAAGAUCUUCAAUUUUUCGUUAAAACUCAAAAGCAUCCACCAAAACUGUCAUAUAAUACUAUUGUUCCCAUGGGCGAAACGUUUGUUGAACUCACCGUUGAAAAGGUUUUGACACACUGGCCCGGGGCCACACACUGGGUCGCUGAAAUGCAAAGCACACAGACCCGGAUCCAGCAGUGGAUCGAACACUUGAGUCCGGUGACUGCACCUCGGCAGAAUCUCCGUCAACUUCGUAGUGUCCUCUUGCAGCAAGAUCGAGACUACUAAAAAACCCACUCUCUCCAGCGAAGAUAGCGAUGUUGCUGUCAUCUGUGAUGUAAACACUGCAACUACACACCUUAAAUUAAAAUUGAGAGUUGUCUACAAGAUUAUAUAGUUUUGCUUAUUAUGUCAUUGUGCUAAAUCGUUAAAGAAUUAUUGAAGAUUUCCGAGGCUGAAUCAAAUGUCGAACCAACUUUAUAUCGGUCAAAUUCGGCCCUGCAGGUUCACUGUCCUGCAGUUUAGACCCACCCGUGAUAGACCUCGGCUGCCUGUAGCACUCCAGUAAUCAUGAAGACAGAGAUUAACUGCUAAGGUGUGCUUGAUGAGGGAUGCAGCUGAACUCUGCAGGACAUUGGCCUGGAUAAAGAGAGUCUGCCCAUCACUGCAGUGGCAUAUGAUAGAGAAAUAUAUAUUCUUCAUAUAAUUCAUAUAUUACAUCUUGAACAAUCGGGUCCCACCUAUUUAUUAUUAUUAUUACUACUAACGUUACUACUAUUAUUUGUGUUGCGUCUUGCGCACAGGCAUCACGACGGCCGCCAUCUUAGGGGUCCUCGCUAGGUGGGACCCGAUUGUUCAAGAUGCAUUUAAAGUGAAGAUACGACUCUUUUCUCAUGUUUAUCUUUUAUUUAACAUAAACAAACACAUAUACUUGUAUAAUAGCGUUCAGUAAGUNNNNNNNNNNNNNNNNNNNNNNNNNNNNNNNNNNNNNNNNNNNNNNNNNNNNNNNNNNNNNNNNNNNNNNNNNNNNNNNNNNNNNAUUAAUGACAAAAUUUU